GAGAGCUUGCGGGAUUCGAUUUGGGCGGCCGCGGCGGACUCGAGGUCGGGGAGGGAGGAAUCGCGGAGGUCGAGGGCGGCGAGGGAGGAUUGUUGGAGGGAGUCGUGGGAGUCGAUGUUGGAGAGGAGGGCUUGGGAGCGGGUAGUGAGGGUGAGUUGGAGGGAGGAGUAGUGGUCGGAGAGGGAUUGGAGGAGGUCGGCGCAGGUGGUGAUUAGAGUUUUGUGGGAGGCGAGUUCGGCGAGUGCUUUUUCGGCGGCGGUGGGAGUGGAGGAGGGAGCAGGGGCGAG
rnacentral:misc_RNA from 1 species